CAGCNGUGAGNAAUAUUGGUCAAUGGACGAGAGUCUGAACCAGCCAAGUAGCGUGANGGAUGANUGCCNUAUGGGUUGUAAANUUCUUUUAUAAGGGAAUAAAGUGAGGGACGUGUCCCUUUUUGUAUGUACCUUAUGAAUAAGGAUCGGCUAACUCCGUGCCAGCAGCCGCGGUAAUACGGAGGAUCCAAGCGUUAUCCGGAUUUAUUGGGUUUAAAGGGAGCGUAGGUUGACAUAUAAGUCAGCUGUGAAAGUUUACGGCUCAACCGUGAAAUUGCAGCUGAUACUGUAUGUCUUGAGUGUACAAGAGGUGGGCGGAAUUCGUGGUGUAGCGGUGAAAUGCUUAGAUAUCACGAAGAACUCCAAUUGCGAAGGCAGCUCACUGGGGUACAACUGACACUGAGGCUCGAAAGUGUGGGUAUCAAACAGGAUUAGAUACCCUGGUAGUCCACACAGUAAACGAUGAAUACUCGCUGUUUGCGAUAUACAGUAAGCGGCCAAGCGAAAGCAUUAAGUAUUCCACCUGGGGAGUACGCCGGCAACGGUGAAACUCAAAGGAAUUGACGGGGGCCCGCACAAGCGGAGGAACAUGUGGUUUAAUUCGAUGAUACGCGAGGAACCUUACCCGGGCUUGAAUUGCAGAGGAACAUAGUUGAAAGAUUAUGGCCGCAAGGUCUCUGUGAAGGUGCUGCAUGGUUGUCGUCAGCUCGUGCCGUGAGGUGUCGGCUUAAGUGCCAUAACGAGCGCAACCCUUAUCAUUAGUUACUAACAGGUGAUGCUGAGGACUCUAGUGAGACUSCCGUCGUAAGAUGUGAGGAAGGUGGA
rnacentral:rRNA from 1 species